AGACGGAAGAGGAGAGCGACUGUGACUGUUAGACCUCUUCCUGUGGUUUCAUCACGUGGUCCAAGGGGCUUCAAAAGGAGACGACGACUUCUUCUUCGUUCACUUCUCCGGCCGGCUGGGCGAGCGACGGCACCUGCGACGAUGGCGGAAGACUCACUUUAAACACAAAGAGGAAAAAGUCCAGCUUACUCACGCCAGCCAAAAUGGCUUCUUCAAGAUAGCGCUUCCUGUGGCAGGACUUUUAGACAUGGAGACACAAGAAAGGGACAUUUUUCAAACUUAUGGAGGAAGAGGAAAAAGAAAAAAAAAAGAUUUUCAUUAACAAGCAAACUAACCAAAUUGACUUUUCAAGAGCAGAAACGGCUCGACGGGGGAAUGUUAACUGCAUGUGUGGUGAUUGAAGUGUCGGUGGUGGGAUGGGGAGGGGGAAGGGGGGGUUGCAGUGUGUUCCUGUGCAGGUGCAGAAGAGAAGACCACAGAUGCUGGAAGACCACCAACAGAUAUACAGUGCAGUCAUCCAUAAAGUAGAAAGCACUACUAAACUCCUCACCACAGUGUAGUGUUUCCUACUUUAUGGAUGAGUGUACUGUUGGCUUCGGGGACAGUGCGGCCUCUCUCCGGAAGUCAAAAAAAAAAAAAAAAAAAAGAGGAAGCGGCUUAGUAUAUCUCGCGAGGCUCCACGUUACCCAGAGUGUGGUUUGUGCUAGUUCACAUGGGUGCCGUGUGGCUCGGAGCAAAGCCUGCAAACUCUUUCCUCCAUUUCUAGAAAAGAAAAAAACAAAACAUUGUAUGUACCUAAAGUGAAAUGUCUUAAGUAUGAAAUAAAGAAGUGAUGACCUA